AGGGAAAUGUUUGUCUCUUCUGAAGUUCUAUCCUGGUCGAUCCGUGAUGACCUGUAAACUUCUUUUACAGUGUAUUAGAAGAGGACAUCCAGAAAGGAAACUCAAACCAAAUAUCACAUCAAAAUCUAACAGCGGCACUCAAUUCAUCAGAACCUGGAUAUAAUCGUCUUUUCAGUGUGUUGCUCACAGAACUGAGAUUAGAAUCAGCGACAGACCAGUUAAGAGCCAGUUUAUAGGACAGUGGCCUUUUCGUUGCAGAUGUUAAUUCCUUGACUCCAGUCUGGGUCCUUUUUCAUCAAGUCAUAGAAUCAUUGAAUGAUUACAGUACUGACGGAGGCUAUUCAACCUGUCCUGCCUGUGCUGGCUGUCUGCAAGAAUAAACUAGCUGGUCCCACUCCCCUGCCCUUUCACGAACACAAGACCAGCAGCAGAUAUGACCAAUCCCCAGUUACCUGUGGAGAAGAUGAUGUUUGACCUUCUUGAACUGCUGCAAUCUGUGGUGAAGGUGCUCCCACAAUGCUAUUAGAUAACCCUUUGGGGUCCUUGGCUUUAUCAAUGGAGACAUGGAGAACAAAAAUCAGAGUGUUGGAGAUUCAGUUACUCAGCCAUCAGAGAGCGGGAGAGAAGGUGGAACAAUCACUUCAAUAUGUACCUAUAGCACUGCAUAAAACUUGUAUUAUUUAUAUUGGUGCCGGCAACAACCAGACAAGGAGCUCCAGUUUGUUGUGUGGAGAUGGUCUUGGGAUGAACAACAACAGACAGGAGAUGACUUCGGAAUUUGUUUCUCAUCUGAGCUCCAGGCCACGACUAAGUUCACCAGUUUAACUGUUUCGGGGCUGCGCUCUCUCUCAGACUCAUAAUGAUGGAAAACUGUUUCAACUCUGUACAAAACCUACCUUUGGACUGUGGCUGGGCGCUCCUGUCUGUUGUGUGUCAGAUAGGAUCUUGGCAGAUACAGCCAUAAUGCGGCUGUCAGGCGCUCAGACACAGAUCUAGAGGAAAUCAAAUUAACCUCGGGUCAAACUAUCACACAACUGUCUCCAGGAGCAGCCGAGAAAACAAAUUGAAGAAUCCAAUCAGAUGGACAGACCCGUCAGAGAAUCAAUGUACAGGUUAAACCUUCCUUCCCGCUUCUGAUCAAAUAUUUAUCUCCUUAAAAUCAUGGCUCAAUAUUCAGAUCAGCACAGAGACAACGAUUGCUGACACUCAAAAAUAUUCCUCAGUGUCACAGAAUCAGUCUGUUGUGAGCCCUUCACACAAGAAGCUGCUUCCUGUCUCCAUCUCAGUGUGCGUCAGCUCACAGCAGCGUGACUCAGCACCAUUUCAGCACCUGACCGCCCUUAUAUCAGGCGUCAGCAGCUGGAGCCCAGGUAUCCAGAGCGAGGGGAGUUUCUGUUUUAGAGUUUCACUGGUUUCUGUCACUGUGAGUCUCGGGGAGCAGUAACACUCUCCAGUGUCUGUCAGUUGCAGCCCCCAGAAAGUCAACAUGGUGAACUUAAGCUCUGCAGAGAAACGGGCAGUUGUAAAAUCUGCUUUAUCUGCAUAACCGCUGGUAUAUUUCAUCAGAAUAAACUCAGGCUGUGUGUCUGGGGGAUGCCGGGACAAGUAUAAAUAAUUGAUGCUCCGUGUACCCUCAUAGAGACAGUGCAAAGUCACCACUAAUGUAACUUCCUGAGGACAGCGGUUGAGUGACUGAAUCUCCAAGGCUCAGAUCUGAAGAAAAUGUUCGAACAAGAAAAGCUCAGUCCUGUGGGUUUUAAAAAUUCUGACUCAAAUAAUGUUCAGAAAACGAAUUAAAUAAGUAAAUGUGUUUAACCCAUAAUUACCUGUCAGAAACGCAUCCCACACAAUUCAGAUGCUGAGGAACCGCGUUGUCUCUAUCUGCUCUGUGAAAGGAGAGCUGGAUAUUUGAAGACAACCGUUCAAAACACCACCCUCAAUAAUCUGCUGUCGUGUCUCAGGAUGUUCUCACCUUCUCAUGUCAGUGAAUGGAAACACCCCGAGCUGGGUUACAGUCAGUCUGUUUACAGCGGGAAUGGUUCCACUGUUACAGACCAAGUGGGAAUAACAUUCCUGUGUGACAUGGUGGAGGUUUACUGACCUUCUGGCUAAAUCAGCACACAUGAAGUCUACGAUUCCUCAAUUUAAAUGUGCAGGUUAGUGUAGCAUUACUUUCCUCAUUGACUGUCACAAGGGGAUCCCUUCCACUUUCCACUGUUUCUUUGUUAUACAGACAUAAAAUAAUAGUAAUGAUCACCAUCACCACCACCAUCAUCAUCAUUGAAACCUCUGAUAAAUCUCUGGAAAGGCAGCUAGCUCCCUGCAACAGAGAAGAUUCCCCACGUGUCAAACUUGGGUGGAUGUUUGAAUCUUGAAGCAAAAUAUGAUAAUCAACAUCAAGUUCAGAACUAUCAUGUUACAGGAUAUCUGUAAUCACAGAAGAGUAAAGGUACAUUAUUAGCAGUA